rnacentral:lncRNA from 1 species
AUGCAUGAUCUCCUUCCUAAAGAGGACAAGAAUGACAGCCACAUCAUCUGGAGAAGGCAGCCAGGGAAGUACUCAAGAGAAAACACUUCUGUGGGUGACUUGAAGAAGCUGGUCACCAUAUGGUACAUUUUCUAUAACCCUGGUCAAAAUAAGCUCAGGAACAAAUGGGAACUAAAGGGUAAUCAAAUAAAAUUAUCGCAGACCAAGAAGCUAAUUGCAAAAAAUAAAAGGGAUGAAUCAGGGCUUGAGUCAGAAAUAGGGAGUCAAAAGCUCUUCCCAGAGACCACCCUCCUUGCUCUCACUGGUAGAUAGCUCCUCUUCCCCCUUCCCUUGACAAUUUCUGCUUUGUUAGUGCCAAGCCCCUCCCAAUUCAAUUCCUCGUGUCUCCUUUGAGUUCUAAGGAAUGGGGAGAGGAGGCAAAAAACAGCUUUCAGAUGCCAAGUAAGUGGAAACCAGGAGCGCCAAUCUGCCAGAACCUGUCUAUACCCCACUCCUGACAUAAGUCACUGUCUCUUGUAUCCCCCACUUUCACCAGAUAGAAGGACAUCUCUGCCAGUUCUUUAAACAUUUCAUAUUUUUGAUUCAUUUAGACCUUAAAAACUGUUUAUUUCCUCUUUCUGGAAGGUUUUGUUUUUCUUCUUAUUGCCAGCUAAUCAUUCGGGUCUUCACUUAAGCUGCAAUUCUCCACCUACCUUGAUCCUGCCCCCUCCCACCAGAGCAGAUCAGCUCACUUAGCCAUACUCUCAUGGUACCUAUCACAGAAGCAAAAAUCGUUAACAAAGUCAUCAUAAUUAUUUAUUGUUUGUUUACACUAUUAGACUGGACACUCCUAGAGGGCAGUAACGUGAUCUCCUUUUCCUCACUCCAGGAAUCCCAGUGCUUAACUCACUGCCUGGCACGUGAGUGUUUGGUAAAAGUUUGUUGUUCCUUUUGCUACUGGUCACCUUCCAAAAUCUCUGCAUUACAUCAUCUCUCAAAUUGCAGCUCAGGGAAGACUGACUUGGAAAUGAAACACAAACAGAGGGAGGCUGCCAGACACUAGUGACUAAGAUACAGCAGGGCUGUUCACCCUCCAUAAUAGCCUACCGCAUCAACAUGUACUACCUUCCCUCCUAUUCCAUAGUCAAAAAUCUUGGAAUCAUUCUUUCAUUCUUGAUGCCUGCACUCGUCUUUCCCUCACCUUACACCUAACCAUCACCUAGGACUGUCUAUUGUUAUUUCCCAUCAAUUGAUUACCAACCACUGUACUAGCUCCCUGUCACCAUACUAGACAAAGCCACCAUUCUCUCCUAGAGAUAGCCUACUCCUGUCUCACUGCUUCCUUCUUGCUCUAUUCCCCUCCAUUCUCCACUUAACAGCCAGAGUGUCCCUUGUGAAACACCUACCAUGUCACAGCACUGCCUUCUGUUGACGUUCCUUCAAUAACUUCCCGUGGCUCUUAGUAUAAUGAGCAAAAGCCCUAAUCAAUCUGUGAGGCCCUCGCAGAGAUGCCUACUGUGCAUGUAGCUCAUCUGCCUCGAAUGGAGCCAGUUCCCCAUGUGCUCAGCUGCACUGGCCCUCUGACUGUCCUGUGGGCCCUGCCAAGCCCUUGAUGUCACAUGGCCUUGUGAUCACUGCCUCCAUAGUCUACAGUGUCCUCUCACACCCUUCUCUCAUCCAUUAACCCAUGCUCCUUCUAAAGAUCCUAGCUCAGUUGUUCUGCUGGGAAGAAUCUUUUUAUCACAUGCCUUCUCCAAGUCUAGAGCCAGUUUCAUUCCUUUCCAGGACUUAAGUAUAUUUCUAAUUGUUUCUUAUUAUGCACUCACUCAGUAGAAUUGCUAAGAGUAAUGCUUAUCUUUUGAACCAAACUCUAAAUUCCUGGAUAACAGAGACUUGAUAAUGCUUGCAGUUUUAUCUUCAACAUGUAACACAGUGCCUGGCACAGAAAAGGCACGAAGUAAACUCUUGUUAAUGGACGGAUGGAUGGAUGGAUGGAUGAAUGAAUGAAUAGUCUGGACUGCCAUUUGUCUAUCCUCUAAACCAGGAAUUACAAAAUCCCCACAGGGGCCAAGCAGGUAGAAAAAUGUGUGAAUUAUGCUAGGGGUUAUUAAAAAGGAGUUGUAGAGCAUGCAAUGAAAUUUUCAAAUUUCUUUUAAACCCUAGGUUGUGGACCAAGCUUCACUUUUUUGCAGCUUUCUGUUCCAACAAGUUACUCCCCCCAGAUCCCACCUAUUUUAAAAGCAACUCCCAGAGAAAGAAAGGCUUGACAGCCAACAGAUGACCACCACAUUCUCUCCCACAAGUCAUCUGAUUUCAAAAGGCAAGUUCUGUUCACAGGAAGGAGAGUAUCCAUACAAGUCCAAGUUCAGUGAGAGGGACUGUCCUGUAACCUGGAAGCCAAGGACUGGAAUGCCCUCAUUCACUUAUUCUGAUUCAUAAAGUUUAAAUUACUAAAAGAGGUUAACAACUUCAACAUGUGGCAUAAUCCAGCGAUUCAUUUGUUCAAAUAAGAGAAAAAAGUUUAACUUUGUAACAAUAAUAUGAACACAAAAACAUUUCCUGGGACCAAAAAAAAAAAUGUGGCUUUGAAAUUCUGCCUUUUAUCUUCCUGGGAAAAGCAAGAGCUUACAAACUGGGGUUGGGGGGAAGGUUUCUUUUUGGUAAACUCAUAGGCCUUUGGCCACUGCUUCCCUUCCACCUCAAUUGUUUUCUUCUGAUCUAUGCAUUGACCACGUAGAAAUGUUCAAAUGAAAGCACCCGGUCAUUUUUACUUAUCUUUCUUAUUUUUCUAGAAAGAGGCCUUGAUAUAUUCUAGUUUCACAAGUGAUUUUGCUAGAUUUUUGCCGUUACGAAUCUGUUUCGCUUUAACUGCAAACCACCUGAUUCUGAUUUUCCCUAGCCAUAAAUCUGAAUUUUUACUACAUUUUAUCUGAGAUUCACAACAGAUGGGCUAUGAACCAAGAAAAAUACAAUGGGAGGAAAGAAAAGAUAAAAUUAUUGGGCAACGACUACACAGAAGAUGGACCAACCCUGAGACAGGAUAUAAAGGAGGGUGAAGGGGGUAGUCCCAGUGAAGUAGAAUGAGGAAAACCAUUUUCUUCAUAAAACUAUAGAAACAGCAGUGUUUACCUUUAGUGUUGUUGCUACCCAGAAGAAGAGAAGGUAUCUUGGCAUUUUAUCAACCAUAUUUUUAUGUACUGCCAUCAAGAAUUUAUUUUCACUGCCUCCAUAUAUUUCUUAGUCAGGCAACCAUUUUCAAUGAUACUAAAUCCAUCUACUCCCAUAUAUGUGGCCCAACACAACUCAAUCAGACAUUUUUUUAAACCAGCCCUAUGAAAAGAUGUUUUGAAAAGCUAAUGACCAACCAAACCUGAGUAUAGCCAUCCAAACAUUUUAGUCAAAGGACAGGUUAGAGAAGAAUCACUUGACUAAAGAAAUGCUUACAAUGGGCUGGGCCAGUGGCUCAUGCCUGUAAUCCUAGCACUUUGGGAGGACGAGGCAGGUGGAUCACCUGAGGUCAGGAAUUCAACACCAGCCUGGCCAACAUGGCAAAACCCUGUCUCUACUAAAAAUGCAAAAAUUAGCCAGGCAUAAUGUUACACACCUGUAAUCCCAGCUACGUGGGAGGCUGAGGCAGGAGAAUCACUUGAACCCAGGAGGCGGAGGUUGCAGUGAGCCGAGAUUGUACCACUGCACUCCAGCCUGUGUGACAGGAGUGAGACUUCAUCUCAAAAAAAAAAGAGAAAGAAAAGCCUACAAUGUUAAAGGUUAUGCUAACAUUUACAGCCAAAGGCAGAAGGGCAAUGUAUAUACUAUGAUACAAAAGAUUUAAAUAGGAAAAGUUCAGUUCACCAGAUAUGCACUCUGUACAUGAUGCCAACCAGGUUACUUGAAAGUCACACAUUAAAACAGCUGUCUUCACAUUUGCUAGUUGCUGUCUAAUUUCUAUAGGGUCUUGGUCCUAUAAAAUUUUUCUAAUAUACAUUAUUGGUUUUUUUAUUUUAAUCUUUUAAUAGAAAUUCAAUAAUGAGUAUUUACUGCCUAUAUCUGAUAGAAGAAUCCCAUUUCUCAUGAGAAAAUCAAUGGAAAACUCAGCAUUUCUUCAAAACCAAAAUUUCCUUUGUCAAAACCUGUAGAACACAGGUUUCAGCAAAAUUCGUAAAAUAUUCAGAUCAAAUUUGGGUUUCUUAUUGAUUUUCAGGAGGAUUAAUCCCUUUUAUAUUAAAAGCUCAUUUGGUCACAAGUAAUGGAAAU